GAUGAAGAACGUAGCGAAAUGCGAUACGUAAUGUGAAUUGCAGAAUUCAGUGAAUCAUCGAAUCUUUGAACGCAUAUUGCGCUCUUUGGUAUUCCGAAGAGCAUGCUUGUUUGAGUAUCAGUAAACACCUCAACCUCUUCUUGAUUUUUCAAAAGGAGGGUGGACUUGAGCUAUCCCAACAACCUUUACCGGUCGGCGGGCGGCUUGAAAUGCAGGUGCAGCUGGACUUUUAUCUGAGCUAAAAGCAUAUCUAUUUAGUCCUCGUCAAACAGGAUUAUUACUUUUGCUGCAGCUAACAUAAAGGAUAAUUGGCCUCUUUGCUGACUGAUGCAGGAUUUUACGACACUUUAUGUGUUGUUCAACUCGAUCUCAAAUCAAGUAAGACUACCCGCUGAACUUAAGCAUAUCAAUAAGCGGAGGA
rnacentral:misc_RNA from 1 species